AUUUUUAGUGCUAUUUUUCAAGUUUUAAUACUAUAUUUUACUAAUAUGCAUAAUAUUAUAUAUAUAUAUAUAUAUAUAUAUAUAUAUACAGUGUGUUCAUGCUAAGGGGUACCACUAAAUAUAUCAGUCAGAUGACCUUGUAUUAAAGUGGAGUUUUCGGGGAAUGAUAGAUAGUGUCCAAAUACACAUUUUCAGACAAAUUUCAGAUUUUUAACCCGUUUGGUAUGCACGUGCACAAUGCAACUUACUUUUUUUU